rnacentral:rRNA from 1 species
GACGAACGCUGGCGGCGUGCUUAACACAUGCAAGUCGAACGGAAAGGCCCCCUUGUGGGGUACUCGAGUGGCGAACGGGUGAGUAACACGUGAGUAACCUACCCUUGACUUUGGGAUAACUUCAGGAAACUGGGGCUAAUACCGGAUAGGAGCUCCUGCUGCAUGGUGGGGGUUGGAAAGUUUCGGCGGUUGGGGAUGGACUCGCGGCUUAUCAGCUUGUUGGUGGGGUAGUGGCUCACCAAGGCUUUGACGGGUAGCCGGCCUGAGAGGGUGACCGGCCACAUUGGGACUGAGAUACGGCCCAGACUCCUACGGGAGGCAGAAGUGGGGAAUAUUGCACAAUGGGCGGAAGCCUGAUGCAGCAACGCCGCGUGCGGGAUGACGGCCUUCGGGUUGUAAACCGCUUUCGCCUGUGACGAAGCGUGAGUGACGGUAAUGGGUAAAGAAGCACCGGCUAACUACGUG